GACGAACGCUGGCGGCGUGCCUAAUACAUGCAAGUAGAACGCACAGUUUAUACCGUAGCUUGCUACACCAUAGACUGUGAGUUGCGAACGGGUGAGUAACGCGUAGGUAACCUGCCUGGUAGCGGGGGAUAACUAUUGGAAACGAUAGCUAAUACCGCAUAAUAUUCAUUAUUGCAUGAUAAUUAAUUGAAAGGUGCAAUUGCACCACUACCAGAUGGACCUGCGUUGUAUUAGCUAGUAGGUGAGGUAACGGCUCACCUAGGCGACGAUACAUAGCCGACCUGAGAGGGUGAUCGGCCACACUGGGACUGAGACACGGCCCAGACUCCUACGGGAGGCAGCAGGAGGGAAUCUUCGGCAAUGGACGAAAGUCUGACCGAGCAACGCCGCGUGAGGGAAGAAGGGUUUCGGAUCGUAAAGCUCUGUUGUAAGAGAAGAACGGGUGUGAGAGUGGAAAGUUCACACUGUGACGGUAUCUUACCAGAAAGGGACGGCUAACUACGUG
rnacentral:rRNA from 1 species